ACUCAAAGGAAUUGACGGGGGCCCGCACAAGCGGUGGAGCAUGUGGUUCAAUUCGACGCAACGCGAAGAACCUUACCAGGCCUUGACAUCCCGGUCGCGGCCCCUCGAAAGAGGGGCUUUCAGUUCGGCUGGACCGGUGACAGGUGCUGCAUGGCUGUCGUCAGCUCGUGUCGUGAGAUGUUGGGUUAAGUCCCGCAACGAGCGCAACCCUCGCCCUUAGUUGCCAUCAUUCAGUUGGGCACUCUAAGGGGACUGCCGGUGAUAAGCCGCGAGGAAGGUGGGGAUGACGUCAAGUCCUCAUGGCCCUUACGGCCUGGGCCACACACGUGCUACAAUGGCGGUGACAAUGGGCAGCAAAAGCGCAAGCUCGAGCUAAUCUCAAAAAGCCGUCUCAGUUCGGAUUGGAGUCUGCAACUCGACUCCAUGAAGUCGGAAUCGCUAGUAAUCGUGGAUCAGCACGCCACGGUGAAUACGUUCCCGGGCCUUGUACACACCGCCCGU
rnacentral:rRNA from 1 species